GCCACCCUGCAGAGCAGCCCAGAACCCACAGGAAACAGACAUCUCCUCCAGACCUUCCAGACCACAGGCGACCUCACAGUGGCCCAGGUGGCCCAGGGAGGAGAGAGGUGCAGGGAGAGAAGCUGAGCAAGGACAGAGCCAGAGACCCAACAUCUAAGUCACCAGCAGGCAGUGGUAGGUGGAAGAGGCAGAGGGUAUCUGAUUUUAUCUUAUGGCCUCAGAAAAAUUCCUCUGGAGUCUAGGUCAAGCAAAGGAAGGAAACACUGAAAAGAAUGAUCAUUACAUUGCUUAAGAACUACCCUGGCCACCUUAAUAUUCCAUCAGAAGAGUGAAGUUAACUAGAAGAAAAGCCCCAAUGCAAUAAACGGAAUCACAGAUGAAAAGAUGUUUGUUUGACCCAGUUCUGGUAACCUCAGGCUCCUGACCCCACCAUCAAGGUGAAAGAGACUCCCAGACCAGCCUUUUGUCUAACGGCCACAUACAAAGGGAAACCCAAGCCGAGAGUGGACAACACACAGCUGGUGUGGAUGGAGGAGGGUUGAGGCAGGUUGAAGGAAGAGUCUCCAGGACUGAGGAGGAGCUCCUGGGCUGGGGUAACGUGUGCCUACCUUGGCCUGGCUCUUGUUGUUUUCACCAGCCCUGCCUGCACCUUAGAAUGAGCCAGCUCUAGGGAUGGGCUUCUGUUUGGGCUGGGUGGGAGGUGCUUUCAGUGUUUUCCAACUGCAGUUGCCUUUGGGGAAUGGGAAAGAGUGAGUCAGACACAGUUAUUUGAACCUAGGACCCCCAGCCUGAACUCUGAAGAGACAGGAAGGCACAUGGGUUAGUCACUGUGUUUCUGUGGGCCAUGUUGGGGUUGGAGCCUGCUCACAUGUUUUGCCAUCACCAGCUGUUCCAUGGGUGGGACAGGAUGCUUGGGAGCAAGGGCUUCCAUGGACUUGCCCCGGGCCAGCCAAGCACCCCAGCCUGGAAUGCUCUUCAAGGCCUCUGAAGACCACAGCUCCCCACAGCUCUGGACAAGAGAUGAGAGGUGGGGGGCGGGGAAAGGCCAGCCAAGAAGGGACUCACAGAGCUCCUCACGGUCAGAUUUAGGCCAAUUGGCUGGUCUAGAACAAGUGGACAAGGGGACUUGUGCUGCUCCUUCUGGGCACAUGGAAGGUGGAAUCCUCAGGUUGGCCUUUCACAUGGGAGAUCAAGAACCUGAAAGUGUAUUCACACUGUUUGAAGUAGCUGUUCCACUCUGAGAACUGACUGUAAAUAAUUACUUCCAGAUUUGAAAAAAAUAAACUACCCAAAGAUGG